GAGCACCCCUGCCCAGGGGGCUGGGCCUCAGGCCUCCACUUUGAUUCUUCCCAGCUCAUUUCUCUGGCUCCCUUGGGCUCCCCUCAGUCCUAGUCAGUCGCCGGGCCCAUCCCCCUCCCUGAAUCCUACCCCCCCACCACCCCAAACUUGGCUCAGCGCUCUGUUUUCCUUUGAGACUUUCUUUCAACAGAGCGCGGUGUUGGCCAUCAUAGUCUCUGGCCUGGCCCACCUCGAAGACUGACCCUGACUCAUAAUCCCGGGUCCCGACAGGACGUGGUUCACACUGGUUUAAAAAACUCUGGACGGCAAAGUCACAAGCCAUCUGCACCCUCUUCUUCCGCUGGAGACGUUAUUUAUGUGUGUGGCUUUGUACUCGUUGCUAAAUGCAGCCUGUGUGAAGGCUGUUAAUUAACCCUUCGAGAAAUGAGCUUCCCAUCAGGGCAGGGACAGGAACCAGGAACGUGUUUGUAAUCAAGUAGUUAAACGUGGAAGAUUUAUCCUUCUUCGGAUUAACGAAGCCAGAGGGUAGAGGAGAUACCCUCCGAAGUGGUUUAAAGAAAGCCCGUUUUGUGCACGUAGAUUGUCAGAAGGGCAGGAAAUUCUAAAUCAUCUGGGCUCCUGGGACUUGGUGAGGAGACAGGAGGUGUGGACGGAGGGAUUGGGGGUGGCAGCCACCAAAGCCCGCCUGGGUGAGGUGUGGUGGCAGCAGCUGGCUGUCAGGAGACGCGGGGACAGGAGCUCCCCCAAGGGUGAAUUGUGUGGCCACUUCCUCUGUUUGACCCUCUGUGAAAUGGGAGCAUGUCUUGCCUUCCCUUCCUCAAGGGACACUUGUGGAAGGGAGGGGAUGAAGAAAAGUUAGAGGUGUUACCCAAACAUAAGUAGCCAUCCAAAGGGUCCUUAUGUCGUGGCGCCAUCCUGGGGGAGUGUCGUGGCGGGUGACAAAGUAGGAGGUGGGAUUUUUGUUCCCGGUUGCGGGGGGUUUGUGUGGGAAGAGCACAUUCAGAAAUUUUCCACAGGGGGCCUCUAUUCCCUCAUCUGUGAAAUGAGGGUCAUUCUAGAAUCUUCACAGCUGGCUAUGUGAUUAUGGUUUCCCAAUGCUGAAAACAGUCCUUCUCCCGAAAAUAGGAGAGGCUAGGUUUUGGGUUUCACUCAUCCUUAGUUUGCCAACUCAGGGUCCAUAGUUCCCCACCCUUCCCAGAUGAGCGAGGGCGGUGCUGGCUGGGGUCAGGGGGAGGUGGGAUGUCCUGGCUGGGUGGCUGGGUGUGGGGCUUGGGGACUGAGUGGGCCACUAAGGCCUGUCAGUGUUUGUAACUGCGACUCUUUACAUCCCGUGUAAAGGCAUGCCUAAAAAUCACCAUUGAACGCCAGAGUUCAGCGGCCCGCACUCAGCCGAGCUUCCUGUCAAAGCCGAAGGAGCCCAGAAAACCAGAAAAAAAAUUAAAAAAAGUAUUCACAGCUCUGAGCCUUCCCCUCUUCCCAGGCUGAUUUUGUUGGAAAAUAUUCGGAGUUGGAGAGAGGGAAAGAAAGAGAAACGGAGUGCAGCCUGGGUGUUUCGAGAUCCCGUGUCCGCUGUGGGGUUGUUUAACUUCUUGGAGCCGCAUAUCCACACAACUUAGAAGGGCGUCAUGAGGGUAGAUGAGAUAACGCACAGAAAGAACAACCUCGUUUCUUUUCCUCCCUCCCUCCCUCUCUUCCUUCCUACCUUCAUUGCUGCUCCCAGGAGGAGCAUCUCAUCAGAUCUCAUCAGAUCAAGAAGAGAACAAUACAAGAACCAUCUGGAAAGAUGCCGCUGUCUCCCAUCUGAGUUGUAGCCCAGAUUUCAACCUGGGCACACGUGUGUCUGUGCAACUUUGCCUGGACGGCUGGGGACUUUUGAUUCUGGUUUUCAGACCUUUCUUCAAGAUUCUACAUUUUGCCUUGACCAGGAUCAAAAAAAUCAUCAAAGCUGUAUUAAUUAUCUAUUGCUGCAUAUUAAAUUUCUCCCAAACUUA